rnacentral:rRNA from 1 species
UAACGCGUGAGGAACCUGCCUUUCAGAGGGGGACAACAGCUGGAAACGGCUGCUAAUACCGCAUAACAAGGAGAGAGCGCAUGUUCUUUUCUUCAAAGAUUUAUCGCUAUGGGAUGGACCCGCGUCUGAUUAGCUAGUUGGUGAGGUAACGGCUCACCAAGGCGACGAUCAGUAGCCGGCUUGAGAGAGUGAACGGCCACAUUGGGACUGAGACACGGCCCAGACUCCUACGGGAGGCAGCAG